GCCGCCUUCCCCCGUGCAGCGCCGGGGCGCGGGGUAGGCGGGCCGGCUCCUUCCCCCUCAGCGCCCACACCCAGCGCCUUUAAGCCGGCAGCCGGGCCGGGCGGCGGGGCACGAAGGCGGGCGAAGGCUCCGUGCCGCCAUGGCGGGCUGCCCCCGCUGGGCCGCCCUGCUGGCGCUGCUGGUGCUGCCGGCCCUGCCCCGCCGCGCCGCCGCCGGCUGUGCCGCCCGCGGGUUGUGCUGCCCGGGCCGCGACCCGGCCUGCCUGAGCACCGGCCGCCGGCCCGACGGCUCCCACGGGCUCUGCUACUGCGACCAGGUCUGCGCCCGUACCCUGGACUGCUGCCAUGACUACGCCGAGGCCUGCCCAGUUAUCCCUUGUGUUGUAUCUCAAUGGAGUGUCUGGAGUGGCUGUGCAGAGCCUUGCAAGACAACAUACCGUGUUCGGAGGAGACACAUCAUCCAGGAGGCCAGGAAUGGAGGAGAGGCAUGCCCUCCUCUGGAGGAGAGGGCUGGCUGCAUGGAGUACUGGACUCGGCAAGGAACAGAGUGCAAACAGUCCCUGAUCCCAGCGUUAAUAACAACAGGAGGGUUUGGAAAAGCAAGGAAAAAGAGAGCUGCAGCUGAUGGCAAUGAAAGAGCAGGGUACUGUGUUGAAUUCCAGCUUGUGGCCAUCACGCCGGGGUGCUUGCACAGCCACCACUCAUACACUCACUGGAUGCAGUACCUCAGGGAGGGCCACAUUGUCUGCGUGGAGUGUCAGCACCCAGCUUUAGACUCCAGAAGUCUACAUUGUUAUGGGGAUGGCAGUGGAAGCAAAAAGUUUCAUGGAGGAAAAAACUGACUUCCCUAAUCUCUGAGGAAAUAAUUGUACUGUUGGUGGGAACAGCCAUUGAGUGGGAUGAGGGAAAUGUCUGUGGAAAGGCUUCUACCUUCUGUUAGAGAAUCAGCUGUUGCACUGGCAGGCAGUAGGGAACCCUCGCUGCAAGGGAACCUGGAAGAGAAUUCGCCAGCUGGACACUUGCUCCUGUCCUUCUGUUCACAGCUUCUUGUUCAUCUAACUUCUGACAGUCUCAGCAAGCGAGUGCUGUGAUGGCUUGUCUGGCACCUGCAUGUGGCAGCACUAGGAACCACAACCAAAACAGUGACUUCUCCAUGUCAGAGGCUAUGCCUCUUAACUUCAAGAGGUUUCUGUCUGUACUGGCGGACCCUGAAUCCCCUCUGUCUGGGUGUACUUCCUGGUUUCCAAAGGAAUGAGGCUGGCUGUGAAGUGCCAAUCUUUUUGUGCCCACCCAUCCCUGAGAGAGGCCUGUCUGACCUUGAUGACAUCUUGCAAAUUCCCCCUUUCUUGAGAUGAACAAGAAUUCACCAAAUAUGAAUAAGGACGAGAAAGUCUGUUUGAGCCCAGGGUUAAUUGUUAUUUUUCUAAAGUCUCAAUGAAGAAUCAACAAUGCAGAAUAAAUUAACUCAAGUGCCUUCUUUUCAUGGCAGUAGCACUUCUUCAUGGGUGCUUUCUGCUUAUACUUGUAUAUGAUUUCCUUUUGUUUUCACCCUCCCUGGUCUCAUCAUUUCAUAUUGAUCCUCAGUCUUACAGAGGGUUGAUGGUUGAUCUUGUGCUGCUGAGAUAAUGGCAAAACUUAGCAAUGAGCCAGUUCAAAUCUGUGAGAAUAGAAGGUAUCAGGGAUAAACUGGAUUUGGACUUAAGGUUUCAAGGAGCAUCUCUGAGUUGCCCCAAAAUACAGUGCAGUCCUGGGGCUCUGAAUUGGAAGUCAUCCCAGCUGCACCAGGAGAGAUAGCUAUAGCCUUGUAUUUUUGACUGGAAAAUAUUUGAAAUAUUUUCUUUAUAUUCCCUGACUUAUAUUCAUACUUUUCUAUAAAUGAAAAUAAAAGAGACUUGGACAUGUUCUC